ACUCGACCGACAGUAUUCUCUUUCUUUCUCCUCGUUGCACCGGAGAGAGGGAGAGAAGGGGAGACAGAAAUGGAGUUUAGUCUUAGAGGCAACGCGCUCAAGACCUUCGCUCGAUCCAUCACCUGCCUCGCGGGUUUUGGAAACGAGCUUGCUAUACGAGCCUUGCCUUCUCGGCUGAUAGUUCACACCAGUAAUUCAUCGCUAUAUGCCUAUUAAUCUGUUGCAUUCAAGUCCAGCUUCAUUGAUACGUAGACAAUUUCUGAUACUGAAGUCCAAUGCAGCUUGCUUUUGAAGCAUGCAGGGAUGAGAAAAGCCUACUGGAUUACUUGCAAUGUUGAGCCUGACAUACAACAUCUCUUUCUCAAUAGAAGAAGAUUCCCGGGCAGCAUAGAGGUGAGGCAUCGUGAUCUCAACAGACUGCUAGACAAUUUUCAAUCAUCACUCCAGGUGAUUACUGUCAUUGCAACUGCUGAUGCUGCAAGUGAAUUAGGUGGAAAAACUGUUGAACUUAGAAGUCAUAUAGACCCAACAAAAGCUGAGGAAGCAUUAGACUCUAGAUGUGCCAUUUGGUGUGAAGGAAUUGAAGGUACAGAUAGAGGCCCUAGGACAAAAUUAUUUUGAUGUUCCAUUAUAUUUGGCUUGUAAACUCAACCCAACAAAGCCUUGGCUGGAUUGAUGUGUCUUGUAUAAUUCUUCAUGGAGAAUAUAUCUACCUAAGCAUUGUUAUCUUGGUAAUUUUUGGUUCUAUUGUUUUCUCGUAUGCUUAUAUACUGUAAUUUAGCCAAUUAGUUGAUAUAUUUUCAUUUGAGAAUAUGUCAAUAUUUCUUAAAUUACAGGCAUUCCUAGCUUUCCACGAGGGCGGUGAAGUGGACAUUCAUUUAUAUUUUGAAAAGGCUGGCAAGCAAGAUGCUUCCUUUUCCCAUUUCUGUCCCAUUUUAUUGAUCUACUGUUUUAUUUGUCAUCUUCCAUUGUCUCCUCCUUGACAAGUUAAUCAUUUUGCAGAGUUUCUUGUUAUUCAUGAGUUUCCAGCCUGCAUACAGGCUGUCAUGAUAUAUAUUUAUGCAUAAGUAUAGACUCCAAAAGAAAUUGCUAUUGAAUCAGAAAUUCAGGGAGACCGAGCUUCAGCAAAUUCAUCUCCAUUAGAUUGGAUGCAUUUCAGCAGAACACCAG